AUUGAACGCUGGCGGCAGGCCUAACACAUGCAAGUCGAGCGGUAGAGAGAAGCUUGCUUCUCUUGAGAGCGGCGGACGGGUGAGUAAUGCCUAGGAAUCUGCCUGGUAGUGGGGGAUAACGUUCGGAAACGGACGCUAAUACCGCAUACGCCCUACGGGAGAAAGCAGGGGACCUUCGGGCCUUGCGCUAUCAGAUGAGCCUAGGUCGGAUUAGCUAGUUGGUGGGGUAAUGGCUCACCAAGGCGACGAUCCGUAACUGGUCUGAGAGGAUGAUCAGUCACACUGGAACUGAGACACGGUCCAGACUCCUACGGGAGGCAGCAGUGGGGAAUAUUGGACAAUGGGCGAAAGCCUGAUCCAGCCAUGCCGCGUGUGUGAAGAAGGUCUUCGGAUUGUAAAGCACUUUAAGUUGGGAGGAAGGGCAGUAAAUUAAUACUUUGCUGUUUUGACGUUACCGACAGAAUAAGCACCGGCUAACUCUGUG
rnacentral:rRNA from 1 species